UCUAAUCAAUUACAACAAAAUAUCAAAUCAUUCCAAACUCUAAAACUCCAAAACUAUUUUCAAAAUAUACAACCAAACAAAUUACAAAAAUUUCUACACUCUCUUCCCAAAAUAUGUUUUGAAAACUUAUCUCCCAUAGUCAAACCAAACAUUUCUUAUACAAAGACCUUUUCUUUUUUUUUCUUUUUUUCCUUUUUUUCUUUCUUUUUUUUUUUCUUCUUAAAAAAGGCUCUAUUUGUCUAAAAGUUCCUAAUAGCAAAGGCUAUUAAUUAUAAGAAUAGAUGUACAUUAUAAGUUUUAAUGUAAUAUAUAUAUACAUAUAUAUAUUAAAAAAAUAUUAUUUAAAUAUAUAAAAAGCCUCUCAUUGGAUUGGAUGGGAUGGGAUAGGGUCUUCAAAUGCAUAAUAUUUGAAACAAUUAGUGCUAUUUUUUUCUUUGUAACGAAACAGAUUUGAACCCAUCAUUUCCGUACACCUGAUGCCUUUGCCACUGGGCUUGGAUGGCAAUCAGGUUUGGUGUUUUGAUUAACUGGAUAGAAUACAAAUAAUAUGGAUCUUUUGUAGACAAAUUCACUGAAGCACCUUUUGGACUUCUGGAUUUGAAAUGAAUGGAUUUAAUAUCAAUAUUUUUGGGAGUGUAGUCUUUAAUUCAAUGUAAUAUUUUUAGAUUUAGAUAUCAAUAAUGAAUUUGAGAGUUUUAUAAUGAUUGAUUUCAAAUAAUUCGGUGAAAAUAGUUAUUUGAAAUUUUUUCAUAAAGAUCGUACUCGUACAAUAAUCUUAAUAAAGUACAUGUCUCAUAUCAUUAUUCAAUCCUUUACUUUAGAGUUGUCAAUCUAACUUCAAUAGCAAAUCUUCUUAUAUUUUUAUAAAAUUCCAAUUCAAAUCCACUCAUCUAAGGGAAUGCUGAAGAUUUUUUCUAGUUUGUUAUGUAUUGGUUUGGGUGAGAUAUUCAAUAUAGUCCUUAUUUAGUCACGGAGCGUGGGGGUGGGUGGUACUUGUGGGGUGGUGGAUUGCACGGAGGAGGUUAGAAAUUCUCGUAUUAUGAAUCGGGCUUUCGGUGAUAAUGACUAGGCGGAUUUGUUACCAUCAUAUUGCCUAAACAAAUUGAAGACGUUUUUGUCUACUGGAUGGGAGUAUGGGAUUACCCAUGUUGGGCAAUGUUUCGAGGAGGGGGGCGGGGCUAAUGAAUUUCGGGAAGUAUUAUGUAAAUAUGCUGUGGAAUGUGGAUUUCAAUUCAAGUACGUGAAAAAUGAUUCAGUCUGUAUUACAAUAGUAUGUAAGUUCGUAGUGUCUAUGGGGUGCACAUGGUCAGUUCACGUGAGGGUGUUACCAUCGAAUGGGAUUCUAUGUGUUAAGAGGUUUGAUAGUGUGCACACUUGUGGCGCUGUUGUACGAACUAAUAGGAACCCACGUAUGGGGUCUGAGUUGGUGUCUAGCAUUGUUGCGGAUUGGGUGCUUGAUCAGCCACUCAUGCGCCCUACGAACGUGAUUGUUGAUUUUGAAAAACAAUUAUGGUUUGGAAAUUAGUUAUCGGGUCCCAUGGUUAGGGGUGUAGAAAGCUAGGGGUGAAGUGUAUGAAGAUUACGCAAUGUCAUGCGACCAACUCAGAUGGUAUAGCGAAAAAAAUCUACACAAUUACAUUAACCUUAAAUUUGAUAAAAAAAAAAUAUGGGAGGUUUGUUCGGUAUUUCAUAUCAUUCUGUGCAUAUAUAGAUGGGUUUAAUUAUUGUCAGCCUUUGUUGUUUUUGGAUAGGACGUUCUUAAAAGGCAGAUUCAAGGCGAAUCUGCUCAUUGCUAUUGCGAAGGAUGGCAAUCAAGGUAAGAGUGUAUCAUGCUUAAUUAUGUUAUGUAAUCUGUAUGAACAUUUCCAUUUGAAUUUUGUGAACUUAUUACACAUUUAUGCACUGUGCACAGAUUUGUUUCAUAUGACAGGAUGCAUCAACAUUUCUAUUUACACAUUUUCGUCUGCUUCACUUGACUAUAUAUGUUAUGUUCAAUGGUUUGUUCUCCAUGGCAUUUGCAAUUGUUGAUUCCGAGAAUCCUGCCAAUUGGGAGUGGUUUUUACGGCAUCUGAAAGAGGUUGUUGGUGGUGGGUGAAUGUUAACAUUUAUCUCCAACUAUCACGCUGGCUUAUUGCAAUCUAUGCCAACUAUGUUCCCAUGGGCACAUCAUGCAUUUUGUUUGUUGCAUUUUCAAAUGAAGGGACUAGAUGAAAUAUGUGAAUGCAUCGCACAAAAUUGGUUUGAUGAGCAACCUUCGGGAAUGUGCUUACGCGUCCACUGUAGCAUGUUUUAAUCAGGAAUUAGAGGAAUUAAAGAAGUGCAGCCCGGCGGUGAUUAAAGAUUUUUUGAAAGACUUGCAUCCUAAAUAUUGGGCUAACGCAUACUUCAAGUAGGUGAAUAUGCCCAAUGGGAAUGGAAGGUUUUCGAUUCCAACCUUUUUUCUGUUCUUUUUUGUUUCUUUGUAUAUCGGUUGUAGUAGCAUGGUAUAAAUGGGGUUGUGCUAUUCAAUUUUAUUGAUAUUUUUUUGUUCACAUUGGAUUUUUUCAAUGGACGGCUUUAUGGCAAGAUGUGCUCGAACUCCGCCAAGUCUUUCAACAAUUGGAUACGUGAGGCCUGUCAUCUUUCAAUUGCUAGGUUUGUUAAUAUGAUAAGGGGUCAAAUAAUGAAGCAGAUGGCAAAGCGCAGAGUCAAGUCUAGUACAUGGGCCGACGUAAUAUGCUCGAAGAUGGGGAAAAAAAUUUUGGUAAAGGCAUACAACGAUAGUAGGUCUUGGAGCGUUAGUCAAGCCAAUGACAAUGUGUAUGAGGUUCAUUCUCAUCUGUCGGUUUUGGUUGACACGGUUAGAUGUUCGUGUUCUUGUUUUUAGUGAUAGAUAAAUGGGUUUCCAUGUUCACAUGUUGUUGUCUCAUUUCGUAAUAACGAGAGAAACAUAUACGAUUCAAUUGAAGGGUUCUACCUUAUUGAGAAGUUUCGAGCUUCGUAUAACGGAACAAUAUAUUCCAUUCCAACCGUAGAGAAACCGAUGUUCACACCCAAUGAUUACUUGAGUACGCUGCCAAAGGUGAAGCGUCCUCCUAGAAGGCCCAAACGCAAGAGGAUUUCAUCAAAGGGCGAGGUAGUGCAGCGUAUUCGAUGUGGUCAUUAUGGCAAGUUUAGUAACCACAAUAGGAAGACUUGCAAGGAGUCAAUAUAGACGUGCAACAAUAUGAUUAAAUUUCAUUUUCCGGAUAGUGGGCUUGUUUUUAUUUAUCGUAUUGUCACGCACACAUUUUCUAUCUUCAUAUUUGCUUAUGUUAUUUUUGCUCGUGAGACAUUAUGUUUUAUAAGUAUUAUUGAUGCACUAUGACUUGAGUUCUACUUGAAAAACCAUUUAGUCCACAUUGUCGUAUUGCAAAACAGUGCUUAACUAUUACAUUUUGCGUUUUUUUUUUUUAAACUGUUCUGCGAUGAUGUUUGGGUGCGACAUGGGUUCCCUUUGUGUUUUGGUUGUGUUCACUUUUUUGAUAUUCCAAUAAUACUCAUCUAUGCUGUUUAUCUUUAUAUCAUACAUAACAUUCUCGUAGCUAACUGUGAAAUUCUGGUUGUUGUGCUUAUUUCGUAAUGGAUUUAAUACUACGUUGUUUAUCUUUAUGUCAUACAUAACAUUCUCGUAGCUAACUAUGAAAUUAUGGUUGCUGUGCUUAUUUCGUGAUGGAUUUAAUACUACGAUGUUUAUCUUUAUGUCAUACAUAACAUUCUCGUAGCUAACUGUGAAAUUCUGGUUACUGUGCUUAAUUCGUAAUGGAUUUAAUACUGCCCAACUCAAGCCGACUGACGCCUACAACCACUACUAUUGGUAUAACAAACAUACUAGCAUUGAAACCAAAAUCAUCAAAAAUUUCAAUGUUUAUAAACGUAUAGAAGCACAAGAUGUUGAUGCACAUUUGGGGCAAUGACCGAUGUCAGGUCAUGAGACUAUGUCAAUAAAGGUGACGAAUGUUACGACAUUCGCUAACAACACAAGAUGUAGCACCCUCACGCAAAAUGAUUAUGACAUGUUCACAAUGUUAACAACCAUGGCAAUAACAUUAAUAGUUGCACAAACAUAUUUCUAUAGAGAUUUUAAGAAUUAUCUCUUGUGAUUGUUUCCUAUUUGUAGAUUAGGAAAUAACUUGAUUAUUUCCUAUUAUUAUAUCUGUAGAUUAAGAAAUAGCUUGAUUGUAGCUUUGAUUAUAGGAAUAGCUCAAUUAUAGGACUUAUUACUUGUUGGUGAUCCAUCUCUAUAAAUAAGUAAUUGUACAAUGUAUAGAAUUAAGCUGAAUAAAAAUAUUCUUCUCAAAGUUUGAUUUGCAAGUUGGUAUCAGCCUUGAAAGAAUCAUCAUCAUCCUUUCAUUGAAUCCAUAUCACCAUCAAACCAUGGCCAAUUCAAAUUCUGAAAUAUCUGGCACCAAGUCUGCUCCUAUUAUCAUUCAAUUCGAAGGCUCAUCGUUCAAUGCAAGGAUUGUACUCAAUGAGACCAAUUAUGAUAAGUGGUCUCAAAUCAUAGAGACGCAUAUUGCUGAGAAUGAGAAACUCUCAUUUAUUCGUGGCAAUUUAUAGCCAACAACCGAGAUGGAUGAUGGAUAUGAAAAGUGGUAUGCAGACAAUCAAAGGGUCAAGAGAUGGCUGUUGAUUUCUAUGUCCCCAUACAUUAUGAAGGGAUACAUUCUCCUACCCACCACUCGCGAUAUUUGGAAAGCUCUUUCUCAAGCUUUUUAUGAUGGAGCAGACGAAUUACAAGUAUUUACCUUGAAUCAGAGGGCCUUCUCUGCCAAACAGAGUGGUAGAACACUCUCUGUGUAUUAUGGAGAGUUAAUUGAAAUUUUUAGUGAAUUGGAUCUUCGUGAUCAGGUGAUCAUGGAGAGGGAAAAAGAUGUUGCAUCAUAUCAGAAAUCAGGUCAAUGACUAAAGACGUAUAUUUUUCUUGCUAGAUUAGAUGGUGAAUUCGAACAAAUCCGUGGUGAAAUUUUGAGGAAGGAUCAAAUUCUCGCAUUAAAGGAAUGUUAUGCACUAGUCCGCCGUGAAUGUGUUCGACGCGAAACGAUGAAUAUUGAACUUGGAAAUUCUGAAGCUUCCGCCAUAGUGACUCGAAACCGUUCUAAUCAGAAUUGGCUUCCUUAACACCAACAGGACCGACCAAAGCUUGUCCCUCCUAAGACUGCUACUAGUGUCAAUAAAUCUUUCUACAAAUGCACUCACUGCAAUCAAAUUGGUCAUACCAGAAAUCGAUGCUAUGAACUUGUGGGGUAUCCAGAAUGGUGGGAUCAUAGCUGUGAUUCACGGAAGAGGAAUUCUAAGAAGGCCUCUAUUGCUGCGGUUGUUGAAACAAAGACAGCGAAUGAUAUUGCUGAAGCAUUCUCAACAUUAGCAGUAGCUGCAGGACAUCCAAACAAGGCAGAUGAUUGAUUGUGCUGUUAGGCAAGGGAAGCUGUAUUACUUAGACUUGGGGUCAAAGAGUUCGAACCAAUUGCGUUAUGCUCUAAUGAUAGGCGGUUCUGUAGGUGAAAAGAAGAAAUCUGAGAUAUGGUUAUGGCAUCGACGUCUGGGGCAUGCUUUAUUUGGUUACCUGAAGAAAUUGUUUCCUAAUUUAUUUGCAAAAAUUGAUAUUUCCAAUUUCAAAUGUGAUGUUUGUGAACUUACAAAGAGCCAUCGCGCUUCGUUUCCAUUAAUUUUGAAUAAAAGCCCAGUUCCUUUUA